CCUACGGGAGGCAGCAGUGGGGAAUAUUGCACAAUGGGGGGAACCCUGAUGCAGCGACGCCGCGUGAGUGAAGAAGUAUUUCGGUAUGUAAAGCUCUAUCAGCAGGGAAGAAAAUGACGGUACCUGACUAAGAAGCCCCGGCUAACUACGUGCCAGCAGCCGCGGUAAUACGUAGGGGGCAAGCGUGAUCCGGAUUUACUGGGUGUAAAGGGAGCGUAGUCGGGUAUGCAAGUCUGAAGUGAAAGCCCACGGCUCAACCAUGGGACUGCUGUGGAAACUGUAAAACUGGAGUGCAGGAGAGGUAAGCGGAAUUCCUAGUGUAGCGGUGAAAUGCGUAGAUAUUAGGAGGAACACCAGUGGCGAAGGCGGCUUACUGGACUGUAACUGACGUUGAGGCUCGAAGGCGUGGGGAGCAAACAGGAUUAGAUACCCCUGUAGUC
rnacentral:rRNA from 1 species